AUUGAACGCUGGCGGCAUGCCUUACACAUGCAAGUCGAACGGUAACAGGUCUUCGGAUGCUGACGAGUGGCGAACGGGUGAGUAAUACAUCGGAACGUGCCUAGUAGUGGGGGAUAACUACUCGAAAGAGUGGCUAAUACCGCAUGAGAUCUACGGAUGAAAGCAGGGGAUCGCAAGACCUUGUGCUACUAGAGCGGCCGAUGGCAGAUAAGGUAGUUGGUGGGAUAAAAGUUUACCAAGCCGACGAUCUGUAGCUGGUCUGAGAGGACGAUCAGCCAAACUGGGACUGAGACACGGCCCAGACUCCUACGGGAGGCAGCAGUGGGGAAUUUUGGACAAUGGGCGAAAGCCUGAUCCAGCAAUGCCGCGUGCAGGAUGAAGGCCUUCGGGUUGUAAACUGCUUUUGUACGGAACGAAAAGCCCCGGGUUAAUACCCUGGGGUCAUGACGGUACCGUAAGAAUAAGCACCGGCUAACUACGUGCCAGCAGCCGCCGUAG
rnacentral:rRNA from 1 species